AUGGGUCUCACAGCCAUGUCUGGGGAUGAAUCCAGUUACCAGGGGAAGGAAAAAUGGAAUGGACACAACACACAAACAAUAGACACCUUCAAACACUCUGGGUGGAAAACAUGGAUCAAUGUGGCUUAUUACUAUGGCAACAAAAUCAGCUUUCAUGCCAGAGUAAUUCACUUAGAGUCAAGCAGACAAGUUAAUGAUAUCGGCAGCCAUGGCUCCUGGAGCAGUUGGAGUUGGAAGACUUAAAAUUUUCGACAUUUUAAGGAAGUUCGUGUCUAGUGGUCAUGAGCUAUUUUGUGAUUUUUAAAAUAUACUGCAUUUUGAACUUCAUAAAAACAAACUUGAUAUCUAUUAUACUACCUAUCUAAUACUAGAUACGAGUUGUUUAGAAAUCCCUGUUUUGGUUAUGUUUUAAUGGAGGUUUGAGCUCAUUAUUUAAUAAUGAAGUAACUCAGGAUGACUCUCUGUUAGUUCAUCUAAUACUUACUUGCUUUCUUUUGUUCGAAUACUGCCAUCCCUCUCUGAACAUCAUACACUUGUCAUGAGAAGAGUCUGCACUUCCAGGGCCUGGCACUGAAGGUCUUGAAAUGUUUCUCCUCAGUUCCAUUUACUGGCUUCAUGACAUCUUAUAUUCUGCCUUCAUCAACUGGUUCCUUUAUUAAUGACGAUGCCAAAAUACUAAUAUGGCACUCAAAUACAACUAAACAGCAAUUUGUCUUUACUCCAGAGACAAAAGAAGAAAGAUUUUUUAAAAUCCUAGUAUUUGGGAAAUAUCUUCCAUGUCUACUGUCUUCAUAGCCAGAUUCUAAUUUCUCAGUCUUACGGGUAGUGCUAGCUGCUGGACGAGAAGUCAAAGGCACCAUAACUUUCUGGAUUCCCAGUUUUGCUGAUUCAUCACGUGUAGGAGGCAAUGCUUCCUCCCCCCCGGUUGAGAUGUGAAUGGGAGUUCAGGGAAGCUGUAUUUUUAUGCAGGGUUAAUAAUAUAACUAACAUAACUGUGCAUGGGAAUUGUAAAGAUGUGAGAGUUGGUGGGUUGGUGUCAUGGGAAUAGCAGGUAGAAUCGUGAAUAUCAGGUUGUGAGAUAAUUUUAUUGGUCUGAAGGUCAAUUCGAGAAGACUCAGAGGUUGGAUGUGCAGCGCAAUAUUUAUCUCAGAGCUUAAGAAAGAACUAAAAAGAAUGGUGAGUGAUAGAGAGGAAUAGUCCCUGAGGAGACCUGGCUAGAGAGCAAAUUUGCAAUUAUAACAACAAGGCAAAGGCCUUGGUAUGUUGUUCUCAGAUGGUUAGAUGCUUUCCAAAAGGAACUUUCCUUUGAUGCCUUUUAAUUCUUGAAAUUAAAAAAUCCAGAUAAAAAAAUUUUUCAGAGCCUAAGAAUUCAAAAUAUUUUAACACUGGGAACUAAGGUGAUUGACUUUUCAAAAAUCUGAAUUAACUCAUGUCUUAACCCACUGUUGUUUUGGCCUCAAAAUGACAACUGCUAAUCAUCUAGAAAAAUGUGAUUUAUAAACAUCUUUAUUUAAGAACCUCAUUCUAAAGUGGAAAAAAAGCAGUUGAAAGAAUAUAUAGUGACCCAAAAAACUACUUUGAUUUCACUACAACAUUAAUUAGGAUGUGCUACUAUUUCUAAAAAUAUAGGGCCUGAAGUGUAAAACAUGUCAUUUAAAUACUCUGCAGACAAUGUUUACUUCAAUUUCAUGUAGACUCAUGAACAUUUAAAAAAAUUUUCUGAGGAUCCCAGGGCUUUCUGGGUCAUACUACUGAGAUCUUUCUCUUGGGCUCUUGUUCCCAGGAAACAACAUGUGACGGUUUCAUGUAUAUGCCUCACAAUUUGGCUUUCAGCAUAUUACUUAAGAAUAAAUAGCAGUCAGCAUUCAGGUUUAUACAAGGGACAGUUUGCACAUUUUCCUCAGUAUAAGCUAAAAAAGAAGGAGAAAAUGAGAAAGAAAAAAAGAAAAAGAAAAAGAAAGAAAGAGAAAUCCCCUCUUACUAUCCUAGCUCUUCAUAGAUGUGAUAGAGACUGUUUACCAGCCUUACUUUCUCUCUGAUAAUAUAGUUAGACUGUAUUUUCAUUCUUCCUUUGCAAUUAGAUGUGGCCACUGGGCUGUGUCCCAGCAAAGGAAUGUGAAUACAAGUGGUAUGUACUCCUGCUAGCCUGGCACUUUAAAGCUUGUCAGGCAUGAUUCUCCAAGCUGUUUUCCUUUCCAGCUGACUGGCAUAGAGACAACAUGGAAUAUAACCUUGGAAGCUGUGUUCUGAAAAAUGGCAGAGCUACAUGUGGAAGGAGCCUGGGUCCCUGAAUGACCACUUGGAGGAGAAGCACCUGCCAAAUCAAGAGUACCACUUUGGAAAUUAUGUGAGUGAAAAAUAGAUUGAUACUUUGCUUGAGCCAUUCUAUAUUUGUAUAAUUGUGUCCUUAACUUUUGCACUAUGUAAUUAUUAUUAAAUUACUUUUUACCACUAGAGAUGACUCUAUUGUUGUCAUGAUUCUGUGAGGUGAACUAGGAAUGGAGGGUAGAACCUAACUUCUCACACACAUCUUCUGUGUAAAACUUGCGCAUUCUCUAUGCAUCAUUUAUGUAUCUGCUUUGUGACGUGUAACAGGCAUGCCUUUUACGUAUAUCAGCUCAUGCACUUUUUAAUAAUUUUAUCAAGGGAGCAUUUAGGUGUAGGGAAAUGGACAGGACAUAAGUGCACAAUUCAAUGUUUCUGUUAAAUUCAGUGUUCUAUUGGAUCUGUUAUGGUAUUCCUUCUUUCAUUCCAGAUAUUAAUAAUUUGUAUUAUGUUGGGCUUUCAAAAUCAUAGUUUUUUUGCUGUAUAUUUAUGUAUCUUUCUUUUUAUUACUUUGAAAUAAUUCUUUGAGAUCAUUUACUCUAAUUUUUCUAAUAAUUUCAACUUUUAUUUUAGAUUCGAGGGAUACAUGUGCAGGUUUGUUACCUGAAUAUAUUGCAUGAUUCUGAAGUUUGGGAUACAAUUGAUCCCAUCACCCAGGUACUGAUCAUACUACCCAGAAUUAGUUUUUCAGUCUUUUUCUCUCCUCCUUCUCUCCCUACUCUAGAAGUCCCCAGUGUCUGUUGUUGCCAUCUUUAUGUCCAUGACUACCCAAUGUUUAGCUUCUACUUAGAAGUGAGGACACGUGCUAUUUGGUUUUCUGUUCCUGUAUUAGUUCACUUAGGAUCAUAGCCUCCAGCUGAAUCCAUGUUGCUACAAAGGACAUGAUUUUGUUCCUUCUUAUGACUGUAUAGUAUCCCAUGUAUAUGUGCCACAUUUUCUUUAUUCAGUCUACCAUUGAUGAACACCUAGGUUGAUUCCACAACUUUGUUAUUGCUAAUAGUGCAGUGGUGAACAUAUAAGUCCAGGCAUCCUUUUGAUAGAUGAUAUAUGACAGAAUGAUAGGCUGAUUUAUUUUCUUUCACAUAUAUACUCAGUAGUGGGAUUGUUGGAUCUAGUGGUAGCUCUGUUUUAAGAUCUUUGAAAACUAUUCAGACUGCUUUCCACAGUGGCUGAACUAAUUUACAUUCCCACCAACAGUGUAUAAGUGUUCCAUUUUCUCCACAGCCUCACCAGCAUCUCACCACCAUUUCUGGCUUUUUAAUAAUAGCCAUUCUGACUGGCGUGAGAUGGUAUCUCAUUGUGAUUUCGAUUUGCAUUUUUCUGAUUUUUAGAAAAGGCAUACUAACAGGAAAAGAAGAAGUCAAAAUACUUCACUCCACAAAUAUGAUUCUAUACCUACAAAACACUAAAGACUCUGCCAAAAGGCUCUUAGAACUGACAAACAGCUUGAUUAAAGUUUUGGAAUUACAAGAUCAAUGUGCCAAAAUCAGUAGUAUUUCUAUACACCAAUAAUGUUUGAGCUGAGAGCCAAAUUAAGAACACAAUCCAAUUUACAAUGGGUGCAAAAAACAAAAAAAAAAAACAAAAAAAAACCUAGGAAUACACCUAACCAAGGAGGAAAAAGUUCUCUAUAAGGAGAACUACAAAACACGCUGAAACAAAUUAUAGAUGACAUGAACAAAUAGACA
ensembl:lncRNA